rnacentral:piRNA from 1 species
UGUUUGUUGAUUGGGAUAUUUCUGGAAC